CCUCAAAAAGAGCUGAAAUCUUCUCAAACAUUAUUUCGCCAGCUGUGUGUCCCUCUAACGGUAGUAAGCCGAGCAAUUUCCCAUCCAAAAAACGGACAUAUACGCACAACUGUGCAUUAUCAGUUCUGUCUGUGACCUCCUGCUAUAGACAUUACAUCAGUUUUCUUCAGGUCAUCUAAAAGCAUUUCAAACUCGUCUGACGCCAGAACUUCAACUCUACGAAUAUUUGAACUGUCUGACAGGGGUACGUUUUUAAUAGCAGAUGUCACACUUACUUUAAAUUUUUUCAUCACUUUUCACCGCAUCCACCACGGCCAGCAUGCAGUAUUUCGCUGUUUCAGAAUCUGUGAAAGGCCUUUUCUUCUUCGCCAAGAAGCAAACACGAAGGGAAGCUGCUGCCGCUCUCUCUUGGGCUGUACAGGACCCUCACCAUGGUAGUACAACUCCGGUUGUAAGAUUAUUAAACUCGGUAAAAUUAAUAAGUAUUUGUCAGUCCAGGCAGGGUUAAACCGACAGUUUUCAUUGUCAAUUUUGCGCUUUUGGAGUGAGAAAGACAUGCUGUUGUCGCAUCAUAUAUAACGAUGAUUGUUUAAUAUGUUUACAUCACAGUGCAUUGUGGGUUAAAUAUUGCUAGGCUACUAGGAGUGUUGCAUUCACAGUCUACACUACGCUGUAGGAAUUUUAAAUUUUUUUUUUUUAAAUUAACUAAUUUUUUGCGUUUUCUCUGUCUUUCUGCCAGGACCACAGGCAGGGCCACUCGCAGGUUGCUUCUGGGCCGCAUUUGGCCCGCGGGCCGCCAUUUGAAUAGGCUUGGGAUAGAGGCAUAAUAGGUAUGAAGUGACAUAGUAUUAUUGUAUUUGAAACUUUUUGCCACAUAUAGGGCACAUUUGAAAAAUGGGUAUUUAAUUGCAAAGAAAUUAAUGAAUUUGAAGAACAAUCCAAUUCAGCAUCUGACAGGAGAACAAUUUGUGGCCCUGUUUUAAUAUUUCUGAGAAAGGCAAAUGGAAUACUACUACUAUGAUGAUCCCUGUAGCACAAUCUGUGGUGCUGAUGGUUAAAGCUUGGUGUUUUAAUUUUGCAAGUGCUCUCCCUCUCUCUCUCUCUCACACACACACACACAAACACGCACGCACACACAGGGGAAAGGCAUUUUGCUAAAAAUUAAUGGGUGGAUAAAGUGAUUAUUGUUUUGCAAUACAUCUUUUUAACAUCAAAGCUUUGUAAUCAAAAAGAGGGAGCAUAAUCAUUUUUGCAUUUUCUCUCUGCCUGUACGACUAAAAACACAUGCACUCUCCUAAAUCCACCCCAACAUCACAUUACCAAAUCACGAUGACUCUGUGAAUACACACUGUUUAUUAACAUCUAACAAAUUCUC
ensembl:lncRNA